rnacentral:rRNA from 1 species
UACGAAGGGGGCUAGCGUUGUCCGGAAUUAUUGGGCGUAAAGAGCUCGUAGGUGGCCUGUCGCGUCGGCUGUGAAACUCGGGGCUCAACUCCGAGCUUGCAGUCGAUACGGGCAGGCUAGAGUUCGGCAGGGGGAGACUGGAAUUCCUGGUGUAGCGGUGAAAUGCGCAGAUAUCAGGAGGAACACCGGUGGCGAAGGCGGGUCUCUGGGCCGAUACUGACACUGAGGAGCGAAAGCGUGGGGAGCGAACAGG